rnacentral:rRNA from 1 species
AUUGAACGCUGGCGGCAGGCCUAACACAUGCAAGUCGAGCGAGCGGCGGACGGGUGAGUAAUGCCUAGGAAUCUGCCUGGUAGUGGGGGAUAACGUCCGGAAACGGUAGCUAAUACCGCAUACCAUCAGAUGUGCCCAGAUGGGAUUAGCUUGUUGGUGGGGUAACGGCUCACCAAGGCGACGAUCCCUAGCUGGUCUGAGAGGAUGACCAGCCACACUGGAACUGCGACACGGCCCAGACGCCUACGUGGGGCAGAGGUGGGGAAUAUUGCACCAUGGGCGCAAUCCUGAUGCAGCCAUGCCGCGUGUAUGAAGAAGGCCUUCGGGUUGUAAAGUACUUUCAGCGGGGAGGCGUUACCCGCAGAAGAAGCACCGGCUAACUCCGUGCCAGCCGCCGCGGUAAUUC